UAUGCCGCGGGUUUGGCCCUAAAAAACCAAACAGACAAAAAACAAACAAAAAAAGAAGUGAAAACAAAAAGUAUUACUCAGCAAGUGGUACCUACAAACACAUCAGAGCUGGUCUGUAAAGAAGCCACCACAGCUCAGCUCCACAGUAUCACCAAACUCGGCUCAGCGCCCUCAAGUCACAGGCACACGCCGACCCCCCCAUGUCACCCCAGGCCUCUGAAGUUGAUCUCCAGCCACGGCUGAAAUGGAAGCCACGACGCGCUCCUUCAUCUCUCGAGACUUUGAGGAGUUCCCGCUCUGGCGCAGUGGGAAGGAGAUCUGGACCCGGACACAGACGCACGCGGGCCGAGCGCCGUGUGAUGAUGGAGGCAGAGACUGGAGCUAUGCUUCUAGAAGCCCAGGUGCCCCCAGCAUCUGCCCUUGGAGCUUCAGCUUCCACCUGUACCACGGGAACCGCUGGCCUAGAGCCACCGCAGCUCACCCGAAGAUCUGCCCAGAAGGUUAAGAAUCCGCUUUGAAGAAAGAACCUCCUACUUCACUGCCAAGAAUGGAAACAUUGCAUAGGGGCGGCCCCCAACUUCCAGCAGAACCCCCGCUCUGGUGAGGUGCGACGCUCCAGGCUCAGUGUGCUGCUAGGUUGGGAUUUUGCUGAACCUCAGUGCGAUGCUGAACCAUGGGGGUGGGGAGGACACGUCUGUAUUUUUAUUGCCAACCCCCCCACUAUAAAACUCAAGGGAGUUCUUGUGCCUCAGCAGGUUAAAAACCCGACAUAGUGUCCAUGAGGAUGCAGGUUCAAUCCCUGGUCUCUCUUCACGGGUUGGGGAUCCAGCGUUGCUUCAGGCUGAA